CCUACGGGUGGCAGCAGUGAGGAAUAUUGGUCAAUGGGCGCGAGCCUGAACCAGCCAAGUCGCGUGAGGGAGGACGGCCCUACGGGUUGUAAACCUCUUUUGCCGGGGAGCAACGGGCGUCACGUGUGGCGCCCCUGAGAGUCCCCGGAGAAACAGCAUCGGCUGACUCCGUGCCAGCAGCCGCGGUAAGACGGAGGAUGCGAGCGUGAGCCGGAUUUAUUGGGUUUACGGGGUGCGUAGGCGGAUCGUUAAGCCAGUGGGCAAAUUAGGUGGCUCAACCACUUUCCGCCAUUGAAACUGGCGCUCUUGAGUGGAAGAGAGGGAUGCGGAAUGCGUGGUGUAGCGGUGAAAUGCAUAGAUAUCACGCAGAACCCCGAUGGCGAAGGCAGCAUGCCGGCUUCCGACUGACGCUGAAGCACGAAAGCGUGGGGAUCGAACAGGAUUAGAUACCCCGGUAGUC
rnacentral:rRNA from 1 species